CUGCCAUCUUCCCGGGGCGAGAGGAGGAGGAGGAGGAGGGCGAAGGGGAGGGGGGCCGGGAACGGGUCGCCGGCGAUAGGCGGCGGUGGUGGAAGGGGCAAUGCGGCCGCCGCUGGGCCUGUCCCGCCGGUCGCCGGGCUUCUGCGGGAGGCCCAGCUGAGGCCCCGGCGUGCCCAGUGGCCGCUCUCGGCCCACGUGGCCUUUGCGACCUGAGUGCGGGCGAUGGGGCCGCGGGUGCCCUGCUGGCACAGAGUCACAGGAUCAACUGGGUUGGGAAAGACGUCUGAGAUCCCCGAGUCCAACCUGUUACCGAACACCACCGUGUUAAUUAGACCAUGGCGCUGAGUGCCACAUCCAGUCUUUAUUUACCGCCAGGGAGGUUACCGCUUAGGUGUGGUAGCCGACUGCGUUCCUGACAGGCUGUGUCUGCUUGUUCCAGGUGUAUACAGAAUUUUUAGGGUUGAGAGGGACUUCUGGACAUCACCUAGUCCAACCCCUCUGCCAAGGAAGCAUCACCUAGAGCAGGUGACACAGGAACACAUCUGGACAAGGACUCUGUAUAUACAGACAAGACACAGAAUUGAUGUGAACCCUGAAGAUCUCAUAAGCAGUAUGAGAGACAGAGGAAGAGAAAUGAGAGAGAAGGAAAAGCCAACCUUCAGAGAUGCCUAUAAGCACUGUAGGAGUUCCUGUCCUACUGAGAGAAGAGCCCAGUGAUUGUUGCUCCAAAAGAAAAAAAGGAUUAAAGGAAGAACCUGAGGUUUUGCUGUGUUUGCUUGUUUUUAUGCCUCAAGAGGAAGCAAAUGUCUUAGGGGCCAGCUUGGGAUGCAUUUAACCUUUGCAGAAGAUAACUCUGGUCUUCAUUUUGAAAAGAAAAGAAAAGAAAAGGAAAAGAAAAGAAAAGAAAAGGAAAAGAAAAGGAAAAGGAAAAGAAAAGAAAAGAAAAGAAAAGAAAAGAAAAGAAAAGAAAAGAAAAGAAAAGAAAAGAAAAGAAAAGAAAAGAAAAGAAAAGAAAAGAAAAGAAAAGAAAAGAAAAGAAAAGAAAAGAAAAGAAAAGAAAAGAAAAGAAAAGAAAAGAAGAGAGAAAAGAAAAGAAAAGAAAAGAAAAGAAAAGAAAAGAAAAGAAAAGAAAAGAAAAGAAAAGAAAAGAAAAGAAAAGAAAAGAAAAGAAAAAAGAAAAGAAAAGAAAAGAAAAGAAAAGAAAAGAAAAGAAAAGAAAAGAAAAGAAAAGAAAAGAAAAGAAAAGAAAAGAAAAGAAAAGAAAAGAAAAGAAAAGAAAAGAAAAGAAAAGAAAAGAAAAAGAGAAAAAGAAAACACCUCAGAUACAAUUUUUAAUAAUGGCUGUUUACUGAAAAUUCAACUCUGACUAAUUUAACACACAUAAAUGUUUAUGGAAAUUCUAACUCGCAGGGGCUCUGGUGGAGGCCUGAGAGAACAGGGAGGAGAGGGAGCAGAUGAAGCUAUAAUUUACAGCCUUCAUGAUAUAUCUACAUUGUCCUUGAAUACCAAAGAAGCUGAGAAACUUUCACUGGGCAGCCAAAAUCCCUCCUUCAAGCAACUCCCUCUGUUUCCCACUGGUGCUUGGAAACAGGAGGACUUGAGCCCUGGUGCUCUUUGCCAGUCACCGCACCCUGUGUCUGAUCUUUUCCAAUUACUUCUGUGUUACAGUUAGUAUUGAAUUUAUUGUGCUAGGAAACUGUUUGGCUACAGAUAUGAAAUUAAUAAUGAAAUAAUUAGGAGAGACAUUAUUUCAUUUCCUUCAAAGUAUUCAAAGUAUUAAAAUGAAUGUUAGUUUAGUAUUUGAGAAGAAAGGCCACGAUUUUAUAUUAAAUAGAGAGUGGCAGUUAAAGAACUAGCUGCCACCACUAGCACUACCUGACCCCUACAGUCUUACAUGGAGACUGUGAGCUAGCUGGCAUCACACCUAGUGAGCUCACAUGGCAGAAGAGCUUUGUGACAAAACCAUCAUUAGCCCUGCACAAACUCAGGCAUGCAUAUUUUCAAGAAUAAGAGUGGUCCAACAACCCCAACUGUCUCAACAUGUCUUCACAGGGGAGAUGCUCAAGCUCACUAAUCAUCUUCAUGUCCCUCUGCACUCUUUUCAGUAUGUCCACAUCCUUCUUAUGAUAGGAGUCCCAGAGCGGGAUGCAGCACUGCAGGUGGGAUCUCAUGAGAUCAGAGUUAUGGAGCAGAAUCCCCUCCCUUGACCUGCUGGCCACAUUGCUUUUGAUGCAGCCCAGGACAUGGUUGACUCUCUGGGAUGCCAGUGCACAUUGCUGGGUCAUGUUGAGCUUUUCAUCUGCCGACACCCUCAAGUCCAUCUCUACAGGGGGCUGCUCUCAGUCCACUUAUUGUCCAGACUGUAUCUAUGUUUGGAAUUGCCCCAACUCAGGUGCAGGACCUUGCACUUGGCCUUAUUGAACUUAGUAAGAUUCACACAGGCCCACUUCUCAAGCUUGUCAAGGUCCCUCUGGGUGGCAUCCAUUCUUUCUAGAGUAUCCAACAGCUUGGUGUUGUCAGCAAACUUGAUGAGGGUGCACUCAAUCCGACUGUCCAUGUUGCUGACAAAGUUGUUAAAUAAUACUCAUUGCAGUAUGGAUCUCUGAGGGUCCCAAGUCAUCACUAUUUUCCACCUGGGCAUCAGGCCGUUGGCUGCAACUCUCUGAGUGCAACCACUUCUUUAUCCACUGAGCAUUCCACCCGUUAAAUCCAUGUCUCUCCAGUGUAGGAGAUAGUGGUAGUGUGGGACAGUAUCAAAUGCUUUGCACAAGGCGAGACAGAUUAUGUCAGUCAUUCUUCCCCCAUCCAUAAAUGCUGUAACCCCAUCAGAGAAGGCCACCAAACUGGGCAGGCAUGAUUUGCACUUCACAAAGCCAUGUUGGUUGUCACCAAUCACCUCCCUGUCCUCCGUAUGCCUCAGCAUAGUUUCCAGGAGGAUCUGCUUCAUGAUCUUGCCAGGCACCAAGGUGAGAAUGACUGGCCUAUAGUUCCCCAAGUCUUCAUUUUUUAUCUUUUUUAAAAAUGAGGGUUAUAAAUGCCUUUUCCAGUCAUUGGGAACUUUACCAGUUCAAGUGAAGGAGUAUCUCAUUUAACCAUUACUAAUCUCCUUGUUUGGCCUGAUAACACCAUCACUUUCUCUUGGGACUGCCAGUUUAUUUGUAACUGAGCAAGAUCCAUCUGUCUUGUGUAAAGAAAGCUAAAGUAGAUUGUGGUUUUUUGUCACUCAUUAAGUAUACCUAGUAAAGCUCCUUUCAUUGCUGGAUACCUAGUAUUCUAGAAUUGUCCUUGAAGUAUUUAUAGUGAUCUUCAAUUCUACUCAAAAUUUACAGUAUCAUAAUUAUCCAAAGUGUUCACAGCACAACACACCUUUAGAGCUGUUAUUGCUACUUCAUGCAAACAUUCCCAACCAAUAUAAAAUAUAGGAGAGAAUUGCCUGUAACAGUAACCCACACUAGAUACAGGCAUGUCUGAAAAAGUGAGUUUUAUAAAGUGCAAAAAUACUCAACAGGUAUCUAGACAAUUGAUAUUUAAGGCCCAAAUAAUCCACAUGGAUUAAGUUUCACAUAUAAGACGUGAUAACACUUCUAAGCUUUGUUACAAGAGACCUAAAGGUAAAGUGAUAGUUUUCUUGUGUGUUUAAUAUACUGAGACAGGCAUAAUUUUUAAAGUAUAAUCUAUAGAAUAAGGAACAGUUAAAUUUGACACUACUUGCAAUCUGUUUGUUUAGCUAAAAUCCGUUCUGUCAUAUCUGUUUAUCAUGAUUUAUUGUUACCUCUUCAAAGAGCAGUGAUGAAGAUACUGAAACUUUCUACUAUUCUAAUGGUUAAGUCACCAAAGAUACAGUAUAGUAAAUGAAGAAGUGAUCUUAGAACAUACUCAUAGAUAACAGGACUUUUAGGAAUUUCCAUAGCAUUUUGGAGGAUGUACAUAUAAAACUACAAUCUAAAACUCCUUUGAGAAAUUAACUGGUAGUUUUUUCAUUAGUGCAAAUUAUUCCUAACUACACAAUGAUUGUAAUCUGCUAGAUGAAACCUGCUUGGGCCUUCUUUAAAAGUACUGCAUAGCACAUACCAACUGAAAUAAUUCAAACCUUUCACAGAUCAUGCUUGCAGUAAGUGGAAAAAAUGUACAUUUUUAUCUGUCUUUUGCACGGGGCAUGAAGAUUUAGGUAAAACACAUAAGGACAAAUUAAAUUCCUGACAAAAGUUAAUGAAUUAAUUGCAGGGGAGAGUGAGAAGUAUGGCUAAGGUUGUAAUACACUAUGCUUUCUAGUACAUGUAACUUCAAGCUAAAGGAAUUUUCAUUAAGAGUAAAUGUUAUUUUUCCUCUCUGCUAUAUUUCCUCUUCUUCCUCCCCCCCCCCCCAGUUUAUGUUAUGAUCUCCACUCAUGAUCAUGUUAAAGAAGAGGUAAGAAACUUCUAUGGAUAGGAAACUCUAUCCCUUUACCUGAAGUGGUUGUAGUAGCAGUAGUAGUAGUAGUAGUAGUAGUAGUAGUAAAAGUAGUAGAACAUUAGUUAUAGUGGGAUAUAAGGAGAAAAAAAUUAAGUAAGACAUUAGGCUUUAUAAUAAUGCAGUUAACCUAGGCAACUAAAAUGGAAAUCUCAUGGGACUGUUGCCUUCUGCCCAUCCUUGCUGCUACCCUGUGAUAUCAGCAUAAAAUUUCUCUGAAGUUUUUCAGCUUGAUGGUCUUGAUCUUACAUUACUGCAUGAUUUUGAUCUUAUAUUCCUAUCAUAUAAAAAAUUCUCACAGCAGGAAGGUAAAUCAAUCUGAUAUUAAGGAAUAUCACCCUUGGUUCAGAUAUUUCUCAUUAUGAAAUCAAGGCAUUUCAUUUACACAUUUAAAAUUGAUUUUUGGCAAGGCAUCAGUUCUACAGAGGAGUCUUGGCUAUUGAACAAUAGUGAAUAAAGGAUUCCACACAUUUUCCCAUCUGCUUUUGUAAUUGUUAAAAUAAAAAUAACAACUCUGAAUGGGAAUGAAGUGUUAUUUCAUACAUUGGUCCUCGCAACAAACAUUUUUGGUGUUGUUAAUUUAAAAUUUCUCGAUCUGAAAUCUCCCUCAGUGCUAAUGACAUCUUGCAAACUUUAUUUCCUUGAGAUUGGUCUUCAAUAAUAGAGGUGCUAACUGACAGAAGCUUAAACAUGUCCUGUGCCUUUGUAUUAUCACAGUGUAACAGAGGUGAUUGGGCCAUGUUCCCAGAAGAUCCUGUUAUUAGCUGAUGAGCAGUGGUACCAGGUCCCUCUUCCUCCUGGCAGAAAAACAGAGAUGCAGAAUACCCUCUGUGUUCUUCUAAAUUGCUGCCAGUGUUUGGAUUAAUAGCUGCAAGGCCAUUACUUCAGGAUUCUUAGUUCACAGCAAUUACACACUUAACAAAUAGCCAAGCAACAUCUGGAAAUGAAAAUAAGUAUUAUUUACAGGCUAUCCACGUAAAUUAAAAAUCAACUAAAUAGACUGAAGAUGGUAUGCCAAUAGCCUCAAAGCGUUGUCUUGACCAGUAACCUUGGCCUCUUGAUACUUUUCUAGUAACUAGUAGAUGUAUCAAGAUUAAAUGGGUAAGAGAAGUUACUUCUCAAAAUUGUGCAACUCUUGGUGUAUGCACCAAAAUAAAAGCUUUUAUCUCCUGGGCUGGAAGGAAUGUCAGCUAUAUAACUACUCAUCUUCUUGAUGUUCAGUGAAAUCAAUGCUGGCUGAAAGAGGCAGGUGCCCUGGCUCUGAGGCACUCAUAAGAGAAGUUAAAACAUAGGAUGAUUUAAAAAGAUAGUUAAAAAUAAUCUAAAAACAGUGCUCAGUAGCUGUGAGAAUGAACAUGGAACUGUAGUUCAUGAGCAUCAAUUUUCCUUUCACUGAGGCUAACUAUAGGAAAAAGUAAACAAAGCUGUACAGUUUUCAUUGUUGUCCCCACCUUCUAUUCUUAACAAGGCCAGACAGAGAUUGGGGAUGGGGUGUGUAAUACUUCAAGGUCUUAGAGUCAGGUGAACUGCUAAAUGCCACUUUGAGGAUAAAUAUAUCAACCAAGCACCUCCACGAUCCAUUAAAUACUUGGCUUAUUCUCAGAGCUGCUUUCAAGCACCACAUAUUGUCACCUAUUGCUGGGUCCUUAUUAUAAGUGUCUUUCUUGGUUAUUUUAGAAAUUACAGAAUGAGAAAGGUAUCAGGAGACUUGAGCCCAAAGGCACUGCACAUGUAACCAGCAUAGUGAAAUCAAAUACCAUUCUGUGCAUAUUUUUGCUCACCACAGCCACAAAAAAAACAUUUCCUUGCAUUUUGCCCUUUCCAUGGAAAAAGAAAGAAGGCUUCAAAGAUUUUGACUGGCUAACUUUGUACAGGAUAUUACAUGGAAAUAUAUGUGCUAAUCAGCCUCCCUGAGUUUUUUAGGCAUAUUGGAGAAAAGAUUAGAAAUUAGGAUUGCUGAAGAAGCCCAUAUGGAUAUGUAUAAAAUCAGAUGAUGAUGUAUGUUCUGUGUUCUUUGUAAACAUUCAGAAAAGCUGAUUUUACUGUGAUAUCCAUGACUCCCAGGGCAGCACUAACUUUUUACUCACAGCCAAAACUACUAAUUUUAAUGUUAGUGUUUGGUUUGUGGCCUGCCAUGUGAAAAAAAUGAACCAUAGUUACUCAGCAGAGUCAAACUUGAGGAUGACAGUCAGAGAAGCCUCCUUGCUAUACUUACUCAAGACCUCAGAAAUAAAGCAAAUAGAAAAUUCUUCAUAUGAAAUAAAUCACCAUUCAGACGUGUCAUAAAUUUGUGCCAUGAUUAUUCUUCAUCUUAUAUGACUGAUUUUUCAGAAUUUUUUAUACCACAUUCAUUCUUUCAGUUAAUCAGAUUCAUUGAUCUCCCUUUUAAAAUAAAGACAAUGGAUUGAUCACAGCCAUCAUAUAUGCUGUACAACUUCAUGUUGAGAGAUGAAGUGGAAGUACUCUCUAGUAAUAAAUAGAUGAUCUGCAUAUUUAUUUCAUCAGAGCAAUAAUGAAAGAAAAAGCUGUCAGCCUGAUUGUCAUCUGCAAAGAUGUACUUCAUGUACCUCAGCACUGAAAAUUAUGAAAAUAGACAUAUUUACAUUAGCACUACCUUCAGUCCAAGCAUGAAUUAUAGAGUAUUUUACUGUUGUGAACAAGAUGCUCUGAAGCAAAGCAUAGCAUAUUUAAAUGGUAUCAUUUAAAAUGAUACCAUUCAUCACGACUGGGGGGGGGGGGGGGGAAGAAAGAAACAGCUUGUGCUGACAAACACUGUCAGUUCUGUGUUCUGUCUUCUCCUGCCUUGUGCACUUUGGUAACAAGAUGUAAAAGCCACAUUCUUGCAUGUUCAUAUUUUGUUCAAGUACCAUCUGCCAGGGACUGGGAAGAGCUGACUGGGUGCCUGCAAAUGCAACUUCUUCUGUAGAGAAGCUUCUCUAUUGACUGCAGGAAAGGCAGCUCCACCUACUGACACUUCUGUCUGUCUGCUUUUUAAAGAGUGGAGGAAUUACUCAGUAGCAGCAUCAAGUCUCAUUUCCCAGUGGAAAUGCAGUUCCCAAAAAAACACUGAGAAGGUAUUUCUAAGCUUUAAAGCUAGUAGUCCACAUUAGGGUAUAUUUUCUCUCUUAAGAUAUCUGAGUCAUUCUGUAAAUUUAGUUUCUUAAAACAUGACUUUCUGAUAGUACAAGAUCUUACAAAAGCAGUACAUUAGGACAUUUAAAAUGAGAAACCGAUUUGACUUUAACUGUGAUCUGUCCUGACACAGCAUAAGGCUAUCUGUUCGCUUUUGAUCCAGGCAUAUUUUUCCGUGUUGCAGGUGCUCAAAUAUUUAUCGUUGUAACCUCAAUCAUAUUGUGUCUUUCAAAGCAUUUUUCGAGAAAUGGCAAACUUUUGUCACCUUUGUUUCUGAUGCAACAUUACUGCACUUGGUACAUCAGGAGUUUUUCUUCGAGACAAUACCUAAUGCACACUCAACUCCAUUGAAAGAAAAUACACUCAACUUGGACAGAAUCAGUAUCACAACUUGUGAGCAAAACUUGGUCUUGACUUCACAAAGACUGUUUCUGCCUGCUUCAGUACAAGUCAGAGAAACUGAAAGCACACCUUUCAAGUAGCCACGUGUGGAAAGGAUGAAAAUAUCUGUUGUGUCAUGGAGAGCCUAGGCUGACUGCUGUAAUGAGAUGUUUGGGUGGAACUGAGAGUGAAUGGAGCUUGAUCUGAAUGCUAAUGUAGCUGUAAGGAGGCCUGACCUGAUUUCUACUGAUUGAGUGGAUGGGAAAUAAACUUACACAAUCUUUAUUCUGCUUUUUCCGGGGAUGGUAGGGCAGAGGGAUACUGGUAUUGAUAUCAAAUACACAUCCAUCCCCAAUUCUUAAAAAAAAAAAAAAAGAAAUUUUAUACGACACACUUGUGCCCCCAGAUUUCAUAGAAUUUUGAAUAGUUUGGCUUAAGUCACUGACUUAAAAAAGGUAAACUUCUAAGUCAAAACAAGCUUGCCUUGCUGAUUUUUGUUGCCUGUGUACUCCCUUUAACUAAUUCAGUCUUUCUUUUCAGAGUUUGAUUCAAAGGUGAAAAUUGGCUUAUCAAGCAUUAGUGAUAAACCCUAUACUGGUCAGUCCUGUAACAUAUCCAGUAGAUGGCUAAUCAACCAAAAGCAAUUCGUAGUCACAUAUUGAUCACAACUUGAAAGAAAACCUUUCUUGCUACAGUGAAGAUCUGCAAAGGCAGAAACAAGAGAGUAUCUCAGUGCCAGAUAUUGUGAUCUUUUCAGAAGAGAAGUCCUUCUUUAUACACAUUUCAAUUCCUGUAGAAAAAAUGACUGCUAUUCAGGUGGAACAAAACCAGGCGAUUCUCAAGACAGCUCCAUAGACAGAAGACCAAAGCAACACAGAAACCAGUUCUCUGUUUCUUCGUUGAACCAAACAUUUGCUUGCCUGUAAACCCAUCAACACAGAUUUAUGUUUGCUUUUCUCCUUAUCCUUAUCACACUGGUACAGCUUCAUGUCAGAGAACUGCCUACCUGGCUUUCAUACUCUCAGCUCUUGCCCGGCAUUAACAUUACCUCUCUAGCACCACAGAAACAAAAUGGUAGCUCGUGAGCAGCCCAUGAGGGUAAGUGUGGUUAACUUCCCUGUGUGCGUUAGCUCAGUGAGAAAAUUCAAGAGUCACUUGUCACUUCCCACUCUGAGAGCACAGAGCAUGACAAAUCUCUUUUUGUGGCAUCUUGGGGUUUUGCUGCACUGUAACUACUCUAGCCUUGUUAUCUUCUAUUUGUGCUGCAGAAGCACUCUGUGGCCAGUUAUUGUAUGGACUGGUUUAGAAUAGGAAAUGAUGAAGCUUUAACACCAUUAGUCCCCUUAUUGUUGAAUAUGUUACAAUCAUUCUUUUUAAAUUCACAAAAGUUAACAAAGGGCUUUUCUAAAUAGAGCUUGAAUGUCUUAAAAAUAAAUCUGAGGCUUUAAUGCUCUGUAAUUAUCUUGUCUAUUAUCUCAUCUGCCACUUAAUCUUUCAUGCUUUUUUCUGAUCUUUUAACUAUAUGGAGGGGUUGCCAUUUUUAAAAAACAUACAUCUUAAAAACAAUUCUGGGUAUUUUUGAUUUUUUUUUUUUUUUUUUUUUGCUUCUGAAGCUUCAUAAAAUUCACUUGAAGGAAAUUAUUUUGAGUCUUCACACAGAGAUCACUGGCUAUUUUAAACUUGAAAAUAGUACCUAAUUUUGUUAUUGCAUUAGAGUUCCUGAAUUUAAGGCAAAAAUAUUGUUCAACUUGUCACAAGCACAAAAUGAUAAUUCUGUUACUUUCCUGUAUUAAGUUGUAUACAUGGGUUUUCUGCCAAGACAUAGCAGCAUUAAAGUGACUUUUGAAGACAGUUUUGUAGGGGUGAAUUUCUAGAUUUUUCUGAGGACUAAAGACAUGAACUAGGGCUGAGUCCCACAGAGGAUGAGAUACAUUGGUUUAACAAUAUUGACUUUGAGCCAACACUAUCGAAGAGCUGUAAUUUGGUUCAUUCUUGGUUUUAGUGCAUUUUUCACCCAUAUUUUAAAGUAGGUAAUCUGUAAUCAGUGAUAACUUUAUCACAGCUAUUGUUAGAAAUGUAAGGGGCCCAGUAGUUGGUUCUUGCCUUAUUUCGACAGGUUAACUCUGCACAACCUCAUACCUAGUGAGGUAGUAGGGGGAAGAAGGUUACCUUCUGCUUCUAUUUUCUUCAGAAUACUGAAGGCUAGAGAUGGUGAUUAGAUGUAUAGACAUCUUAUUCAACAAUUUCCCAGUCUAAGACCAUCA